AUAAUAAAACGAAAAAUCCGACAGGACAGGGUUGAAGUUGAAGGCGGCCGGCGGAACCGGACCGGACGACGAACAUGGCGACCUCCUCCUGCUACUGCGUCUCCUCCCACGGCCACGGCCUCUCCCGCGCCGGCCCCGCUCGGCUCCGCAUCGCCCGCCUCCACCUCCACCUAGUCUUCCCCUCCACCCCUUCCCCGAGGCUCUCUUCCCGCCGAAUCCCCGCCUCGCCCGACCCGCCGCUCGACGUCGCCGCCGGAGACGCGACCGGCGAGGUCGACUGGCCCGCGCCUAACGACGACCAGGACCAGGAACAGGAGGACCGCGACGAGGGCAUCGGCUUCCAUAUCCAGGUGUCCAAGGUCGGGAAGCGGAACCGGCGCCUCGUGCGGGCUCGGGUUCGCGUCCACGCGCCGCUCGAGGCCGUGUGGGCCACGCUCACCGACUACGAGGGCCUCGCUGACUUCAUCCCUGGGCUCUCCGAGUGCCGACUCCUGGACCGGCACGAUGGCUUCGCGCGGCUCUACCAGGUCGGGGAGCAGGACCUCGCGCUGGGCUUCAAGUUCAACGCCAAGGGCACCGUAGACUGCUACGAGGGGGACAUUGAGCUGCUGCCCGCCGCCGGGGCGCGCAGGAGGGAGAUCGCCUUCAACAUGAUCGACGGCGAUUUCAAGCUCUUCCAGGGGAAAUGGUCUGUUGAAGAGGUACAUUUCCUUUCCUUCAUUGAUCCUUCCUUCCGUCCUCAUCAGGGACCGACGGACGGAUUGUGUAGUAGUACAUUUUAGAUUAGAGGAGGCUAUAGCUGGGCUCCGUGGAAUCCGAAGCAGCUCGAGCCUCACCCGCCCCACCGUUAGAUCCGUCCUCAUUGGUCGUCGCCAAUAUGUAUACCCUACUGUAGUGUCAUGUGUGGUCCUAGCUAUUCUCCCUUAUUGCUUGCUGCUCCCCGAUCCCCAGCUAUGCAACUGAACCUAUCAAUGGUGCUCUGGUACAGUCUAGUCCUAAAUCAAUCGCAACCGGCAUUGGUUAUUUUGAUCAAUGAGUCUACACGGCUGUCGUGCGUUUUGUCAUUGUUGUUAUAACUGUAGCAUAAUUUUGGUCGCAAAUGUGAGUGCGCCAUUGUUAUUUUGAUCAAAGAGUAUACACCGCUGUCAUGCGUUUUGCAUAGGCUGGUGGGGAGAAUUCUGAGGAGCAGGAAUUGGAGACAACACUGUCUUACGUGGUUGAGCUGGAGCCCAAGCUCUGGGUUCCAGUGAGACUCCUUGAAGGAAGGAUAUGUAGCGAGAUCAAGAACAACCUUGUCUCCAUCAGAGAACAAGCACAUAAUAGGAGGAUCCAGAGAUUACAGCACGAGCUCUAGCAGAAGCAGAGGAUGGAUGUUGACGCCGCAACUGUACGAAGCUCACGUACUACCUUACCUCUCCAAAAAAAAAACAUGUCAACAGCUGAUGGAUGUCCUGAGUUUGUUGCUUGGCAAUCAUCACUAAUUUGCUUGGGGUUGUCAUGUUAACAAGCUUGUACCAAAAUUCUAUCGAUUUUUUUCCCCUUUUAUGUAUUGUGUAUGCAGAUAUAUAUAAUGUAUGUAUGUAUGUAUGUAUGUUCAAGACAA